CUGGUGUCUGCGGCUCUGAGGAACCCGGACUGUAAAAUACAGACACUGGGGCUGAUGGAUGUCGGUCUCACAGAUUCUGGAGCCGAGGAUCUCGUCUCCGCUCUCAGUACAAACCAUACGGUGACGGGGCUGUACCUGAGUGGGAAUGAACUGGGAGAUUCUGGAGUGAAACCGGUGUCAGCAGCUCUGAGGAACCCGCACUGUAAAAUACAGACACUGUGGCUGGACUAUAGCGGUCACGGAUUCUGAAGCUGAGGAUCUCGCCUCUGCUCUCAGUACAAAGCCCUCACUGACGAUGCUGUACCUGAGAUACAACUCCCUCACAGACCGAUGUGUCCCCGCUCUCCGCCGCCUCAUACUGACCCUCCCGAGACUAGAGCAGAUCUGGCUGGGAGAGAAUAAGUUCAGUGCAGACGGACAGAACCAGCUAAAGAGUCUGCAGGGAACUAGACGCGGACUGAGUGUGGUCGUGUGAACAUCUCUGGGUGUAAACGUCACCGCCCUGGGGACUGGAAUAUUGUUGGCCGAUUCCCUGCCCCUCCCCUUUAAACGGCCGCCCAUCAUCCCCUUUAAACCCCGACGUUUCCCGGGCCGGCCGGGCGGUGACGUCAGAGGCGACCCUGCCCGCUGCCACGUGACCCGGGUACGUGGAGCUGCUGAUGCUACCAGGCCGGUGCUGCCACCAGUGGGGGACGGGGGAAUUACAGCUGGAUCUGCAGGAUCCCAGAUGUGACUUUAUCAUCAGUGGCCCCCGCUCCUGCUGUGGAUUAAUGGUGACAACAGCAACAGCACGCUGCUUGAUGCUGCCUACCUACCUACCUACCUACCGGCGCACACGCUGCCGUGGCUGCCUGCCUGCCUGCCACGUUGUACUGCUCCUUGCUGCUGUUCAUGUUGUCACUUGCGGGCGGAGCACCAAGGCAAAUUCCUUGUAUGUGAAUACUUGGCCAACAAACUUAUUCAUUCAUUCAUUGUUCAAACUGUUCAUUCACACAGCAAUGUCUGCUACUGCUUUACUAAAUGAAACGUAAAUGGUUUAUUAUAGUUUAAUACUUGUAAAGUU